UUGGUGACAAAUUAUUACCCCACCUAUCCUCCUCUCCCCCCCCCAUCCCUCCUCUCUAGUGGGGUGGUUGUGACCGUACACUGAGUCAAACUUCUGCUACUGCUAACCUGGCCCACCUGGCCCUCUCAAUCAUAAUGGAAUGGGAGUGAAUGCUGGCCUCCAUGUCCAGAGAAGAUAGAGGUAUUGUGCACUGCUCGCUGUCCUCCCUCUGUCUCUCUCUAGAUCCGGAGGUGGUAGUGGUGUCGUUGUCAAUGGGUCCAUCCCCACUUUUGUUCGAUUAUAUGUCACACAGCCAUGGGAAGGAGGGGCUGGUGGAGCAAAAAACCCCACCACAGAUUGGGAUGUUUUGGCUAAGUUAGACCCACCAUGCAUAUGCUAUCACCACGCUGCAGUACUUGACAACAUACGAACCUCUUGCAUCACUGUUCACCAUGUCACCUUUCUUCACUGGUUGUGUCCCACUUACUGUUCAAUGACCGCGCGCAUCUUCCCUUCAUUACUAGUGAACAAAAUUUUGUUUAACUUAUGUGCUCUCUUUGUUAUCAUUAACCUUCUAGAAUAGUAGUUUGCGUAUCAUACAGUAAAUUUUUUUUUUUGUAUCAAGGCC
rnacentral:lncRNA from 1 species